GCCGGAGUGGUGGAAUUGGUAGACACAGGGGACUUAAAAUCCCCCGGCUUGAAAAAGCUGUACGGGUUCAAGUCCCGUCUCCGGUA
rnacentral:tRNA from 1 species